AUUUAUUGGGCGUAAAGCGAGCGCAGACGGUUGUUUAAGUCUGAAGUGAAAGCCCACAGCUUAACUGUGGAAGUGCUUUGGAAACUGGAUAACUUGAGUGCAGUAGAGGAGAGUGGAACUCCAUGUGUAGCGGUGAAAUGCGUAGAUAUAUGGAAGAACACCAGUGGC
rnacentral:rRNA from 1 species